CUGGAGAGACAGCCUCUGUGCCUCUUCCUGACCCUAGCCAGCGCCAUGCUGAUGAGUUGGACCUAGUUGUUCUUGGCAGUGGGGACAGAUGUGUAAAUAAGAGAACCUUGGUCCUUAUGUGAGGGAGCAGACAGCUCCAGCAGCGUCUGUGAUCUAAGGUGACAAGGCAGUGAUUGAGCACGUGGGCCCCUGUGGACAAUGUGGAGAUGCUAAGCUGGGCUGGAGGUCAGGGAAGAUGACCUAGCCUGGACCGUGUGGACACUGAUGAGCCCUCCCAGGGAGAUGCUGGAUCUCUAGCGGCUCCGGCUCCGGGGCAGCUUUGAGGAGCAUCAACAGGUCUGAUGAAAGAGUAGCCAGUGGGGGAUCAAGGAGGGCUGUUCAGAGAGGUUGAUGGAAGGGAACCAGGAGCGGGAUGUGAUAACACACACUGUUAAUCCCACCGCUUGGGAGGCAAAGGCAGGCGGAUCGCUGAGUUCAAGGCCAGCCUGGUCUACAGAGUGAGUUCCAGCUGGGGCUACACAGAGAAACCCUGUCUCAACCCCACCCCCCAAAAAAAAGACGAUGCACAUCAGUUCAGGGAGAGAGUGGUUCAAAGAACAGCGAGAGCUCUGUGGAGGGCGAGGUCAGCCUACUGAAAACAGUUCUGGGGGGAGUAACGGCAGCAGAAACUGGAUCCAGACAGUGGACAACGAGGGAGCGAGCAAAAGCAGAAAUCACUGGAGAGGACAAAGGACAUCCCUGCAGCCGGGAGCACGUACUUGCUGUUCUAUGCUGUGUACUGGAGAGGAGCCAUGUAAAUGCUGGUCAGCAGGUGCCAGUAUGAAGGCUGGUGCUGAUAAGGAAGAGGACAGGGGCUGGAGAGAUGGCUCAGAUGGCACUGACUGCUCUUCUGAAGGAAGGUUCUGAGUUCAAAUCCCAGAAACCACAUGGUGGCUCACAAUCAUCCGUAAUGAGAUCUGAU
rnacentral:lncRNA from 1 species